UACAGAGGAGAGAGGAGGAGCUGCUCAAAGAACAGGAGGAUGAUCACAGCAGGGAUGUGCAGUCAGAGGAUGAGUCCUUCUACCUGUCUACAGCUGGUCUGAGAUCAGCCUUUAAUACUGAAGAGGAGAGGUGGAAGGCUGAGCUGCAGAGAGAGCACCUGAGACAAGAGGAAGACCGGCUGAAGGCUCGUCUGCGUCACCGUUUGUGGAACCAGCAGGAGAACCUGAGACAACUGGAGACCGAGGAGGGUUUACUGGGACUGAAACAGAGACUGGACCAGCUGGACUCGCUGCUCACACACACACACACCGAGGUCAGAGACUGUGCAGUGUGUUCACAGGUGAAACUGACCGAUCCUAAACGUU